ACGCUCGACACCUACGCGAGGCAGCAGUGGGGAAUAUUGCACAAUGGGGGAAACCCUGAUGCAGCGACGCCGCGUGAGCGAAGAAGUAUCUCGGUAUGUAAAGCUCUAUCAGCAGGGAAGAAAAUGACGGUACCUGACUAAGAAGCCCCGGCUAACUACGUGCCAGCAGCCGCGGUAAUCUGAGCGGGCUGGCAAGGC
rnacentral:rRNA from 1 species